GGUUAAGCGACUAAGCGUACACGGUGGAUGCCCUGGCAGUCAGAGGCGAUGAAGGGCGUGCUAAUCUGCGAUAAGCGCCGGUAAGGUGAUAUGAACCGUUAUAACCGGCGAUACCCGAAUGGGGAAACCCAGUGUGAUUCGUCACACUAUCAUUAACUGAAUCCAUAGGUUAAUGAGGCGAACCGGGGGAACUGAAACAUCUAAGUACCCCGAGGAAAAGAAAUCAACCGAGAUUCCCCCAGUAGCGGCGAGCGAACGGGGAGGAGCCCAGAGCCUGAAUCAGCAUGUGUGUUAGUGGAAGCGUCUGGAAAGGCGCGCGAUACAGGGUGACAGCCCCGUACACAAAAGCGCAUGUGCUGUGAGCUCGAUGAGUAGGGCGGGACACGUGGUAUCCUGUCUGAAUAUGGGGGGACCAUCCUCCAAGGCUAAAUACUCCUGACUGACCGAUAGUGAACCAGUACCGUGAGGGAAAGGCGAAAAGAACCCCGGCGAGGGGAGUGAAAAAGAACCUGAAACCGUGUACGUACAAGCAGUGGGAGCACAGGUUUACCUGUGUGACUGCGUACCUUUUGUAUAAUGGGUCAGCGACUUAUAUUCUGUAGCAAGGUUAACCGUAUAGGGGAGCCGGAGGGAAACCGAGUCUUAACCGGGCGUUAAGUUGCAGGGUAUAGACCCGAAACCCGGUGAUCUAGCCAUGGGCAGGUUGAAGGUUGGGUAACACUAACUGGAGGACCGAACCGACUAAUGUUGAAAAAUUAGCGGAUGACCUGUGGCUGGGGGUGAAAGGCCAAUCAAACCGGGAGAUAGCUGGUUCUCCCCGAAAGCUAUUUAGGUAGCGCCUCGUGAAUUCAUCUCCGGGGGUAGAG
rnacentral:rRNA from 2 species